UCCGAAUUGGUGUAGUGGUAAACAUUUCUGGUUUUCACAAUUCACCCGAAUCUGAAACUUCCAGGAGCCACGGGUUCAAUUCCCGUAUUCGGAA
rfam:Glarea lozoyensis 74030 unplaced genomic scaffold M7I_scaffold11, whole genome shotgun sequence.